GGCCGCCUGGCGAAAUGGCAUCGCGUCUGACUACGACUGUGUAAUCAGGAGAUUGCAGGUUCGACCCCUGCGGUGGUCA